rnacentral:rRNA from 1 species
UGGGGAAUAUUGGACAAUGGGCGAAAGCCUGAUCCAGCCAUGCCGCGUGUGUGAAGAAGGUCUUCGGAUUGUAAAGCACUUUAAGUUGGGAGGAAGGGCAUUAACCUAAUACGUUAGUGUUUUGACGUUACCGACAGAAUAAGCACCGGCUAACUCUGUGCCAGCAGCCGCGGUAAUAAAGAGGGUGCAAGCGUUAAUCGGAAUUACUGGGCGUAAAGCGCGCGUAGGUGGUUUGUUAAGUUGGAUGUGAAAGCCCCGGGCUCAACCUGGGAACUGCAUCCAAAACUGGCAAGCUAGAGUACGGUAGAGGGUGGUGGAAUUUCCUGUGUAGCGGUGAAAUGCGUAGAUAUAGGAAGGAACACCAGUGGCGAAGGCGACCACCUGGACUGAUACUGACACUGAGGUGCGAAAGCGUGGGGAGCAAACA